CACGUGUGGCUCCUGCUGCAGGGUCUGGUGGAUGUCCUGGCACUUGGUGGCGCUUUGUCGUGCGGUCACUGCUGCUGAUAGUAAAGGGGCCUUGACUCUUCUUCUGGGUUGAAGACCAGCAGUACCAGCUCACCUGGCCGCUGGUGAGGAAUGUAGACGCUCAGGCUCACCCAAGACAGCCCCACAGGUCUCCCAGAUGGAAGGGUCCAGGGAUCAGAGCCUACUCUCUGCUCAC